rnacentral:rRNA from 1 species
GUAGGUGGCAAGCGUUGUCCGGAAUUAUUGGGCGUAAAGCGCGCGCAGGCGGUCCUUUAAGUCUGAUGUGAAAGCCCACGGCUCAACCGUGGAGGGUCAUUGGAAACUGGGGGGACUUGAGUACAGAAGAGGAAAGCGGAAUUCCAAGUGUAGCGGUGAAAUGCGUAGAGAUUUGGAGGAACACCAGUGGCGAAGGCGGCUUUCUGGUCUGUAACUGACGCUGAGGCGCGAAAGCGUGGGGAGCAAACAGGGAUUAGAUACCCUGGUAGUCCACGCCGUAAACGAUGAGUGCUAAGUGUUAGGGGGGUUUCCCGCCCCUUAGUGCUGCAGCUAACGCAUUAAGCACUCCGCCUGGGGAGUACGGCCGCAAGGCUG